GAGGAUAUGGCUUAGUGGUAGAGCGCAUGCUUAGCAUGCAGGAGGUCCUGGGUUCAAUUCCCAGUACCUCCA
rnacentral:tRNA from 1 species